rnacentral:rRNA from 1 species
AUGGUUCUAUACACAGAAGCACUCAUGCGUGGAAAAAGAACUAUGCUGUUGAUGACCGUAGUGAGAGGUUCUCUCAUCAACAUGGCUGGCCCUAAGCGAGGCAUAGAUACGUAUUGCGCUGUUCUAGUGGAAUUUGACAUUAGGAUCAAGGCAGGCAAAGCAGAAAGGGAUGAUCACCAGCUGAUUGAUGGUGUAUCAGGCAUAGCCGACCUGUGGGGAGUAUGGAAUCAAGCAUUCACAAACCGCAUCUAUUGUAACCGGGGCGCAGUUGACAUAACCCUAGCACGUAUUGAUAAGGCAGUCAUGGCGAAUGUAGAAGUUGCCGUGUCAGAAGUGCAGAGCAGUUUUGAGCUGUGCUUCAGUUGUUUUAUCGGUGGUUAUAACGAAGAAAUCCGGCUGUUCGAUGGUGCAAUUGGCGAGUCACACCUCUUAAAGAGGUCUGUGGUUGCUGUAGCGGAUGGUUCCACUCUGGAUUUGAAGUUCAAGGUGGCCUCGGGGCCUUUCGGUUCAGCGGAGCACUGUUGUUCCUUCAAGGCGGACACACAUGGACUUGAAACUCACGAGAUAAAGACUGAAUUCGGGUUGAUGUCAGUGAAGGUGACUUGGUCGACUCUGCUUUCCUCCCAGUAG